rnacentral:rRNA from 1 species
ACGGAGGGUGCGAGCGUUAAUCGGAAUUACUGGGCGUAAAGCGCAUGCAGGCGGUUCAUUAAGUCAGAUGUGAAAGCCCCGGGCUCAACCUCGGAACUGCACUUGAGACUGGCGGGCUGGAGUACGGCAGAGGGGGGUGGAAUUCCACGUGUAGCAGUGAAAUGCGUAGAGAUGUGGAGGAACACCGAUGGCGAAGGCAGCCCCCUGGGCCGAUACUGACGCUCAUGCACGAAAGCGUGGGGAGCAAACAG